CCCGACGACGCAACGCCGCGUGGAGGAUGAAGAUUUUCGGAUCGUAAACUCCUGUCGAAUGGGACGAAUAGAUUGCGGGUUAACAGCCCGCGGUCCUGACGGUACCGUUAAGGAAACCCCGGCUAACUCCGUGCCAGCAGCCGCGGUAAUACGGGGGGGGUAAGCGUUGUUCGGAAUUACUGGGCGUAAAGGGCUCGUAGGCGGCCAACUAAGUCAUGCGUGAAAUCCCUCAGCUUAACUGGGGAACUGCGUGUGAUACUGGAUGGCUUGGAUUCGGGAGAGGGAUGCGGAAUUCCAGGUGUAGCGGUGAAAUGCGUAGAUAUCUGGAGGAACACCGGUGGCGAAGGCGGCAUCCUGGACCGAUAUUGACGCUGAGGAGCGAAAGCCAGGGGAGCAAACGGGAUUAGAUACCCCGGUAGUCCUGGCCCUAAACGAUGAAUGCUUGGUGUAGCGGGUAUCGAUCCCUGCUGUGCCGAAGCUAACGCAUUAAGCAUUCCGCCUGGGGAGUACGGUCGCAAGGCUG
rnacentral:rRNA from 1 species